UCGAGACCCAGGCGGUCUGCUAUUUUCUGAGACAGGUCCGGAUGUGAGCUCCCGCUAAAUAUUUUGAUAUUCGGCAUUUUUUUUGCGGUCCAGGGCGUCGUUCAGUCCGAGAGGGCGGCGGCAGCGAACAGCUGUCGAGUCGGAGGAGUCGAGUCCAAGACAACAACUGGAAAUGGAUCAACAGUUGAUGAGCUACUCUUACCGAGCUUAAGUGUCUUCCCUACCUAUCCACCAUUAUGUCCCACACAUCACGCCUCUUCCUCGCGGGGCCGCGCGCACGCUUUCGCUUACGUUCUGCUGCGGUGACGUCAUUCCCGGAAGAGGAGGGGUCCUCAGCAGAAAGUGGAAUAGUUUAUUUUCGUUCAGUUUAAUUCCAUCCAUAAAGAUCCCUGGCAAGUGACUUCAGGACCACAGAGACAACAUGUCAAACAGACCCCAGUAAACGAUGGCAGUUGACAGUGAGCCAGCAUCCACAAUAGGACCCUGAAACUAAAGCAGGGGCUGGUUCUCCUGCAGCAGAUGCAACCUCUGAUUCUGGUCCAGACCACCUGCCUCCAGCACCAAUGCAAAGUGCUCUAUGUAGCGCAGUGAGAGGCGGUCCUGCAGGGAGGAGAUCACAUCCUGGAGAAGAGAAAUGAAAACAGAUUAGAAAUUGAAAGAGAUUUCCACAGUAAGAAUGUGCUUUAAUGCAACAAAAAAUAUGUAUUUGGCGUAUAGAGGCUUAUUUUCUCCCUGAAGUCACUCCAAGUUUGUCUAGGGUAGUUUGUCAAUUGUAUAUCUUUGUGAUCUGUUUAGGCUCUUUACUUUGAAAUCAUUUGUCAUUUUUUGCUAUGGAGAGAAUCCAUAGAUAUUAUAAAUUCUGCACAGUGAGUGCGUCCUAUUUAAGAAAAUAACGUCUGCAUGCCAGGGUGUGCAGAGCAAGCUCUUGUGCAGAUCAAUAUCUUGGAAUGAUGUAGCUCUUUUCUCAUAUCCUCUUUCUAAAAUGUACAGAGAACACUGUCUGAGGGGAAAUUCACUGUUUAUCACAUCUUACCAUGGGCUAUACCUGAGGAUAAUGUUUCAUUAUUUCUUUGCCGUUUUAAUAUAUUAGAGGUAUGAAAAAUUAAAAGGGAUUCCAUUGUAGUGAUAUGUUACUGUAAGCAUGUGAGUAUGGAGGCUCAUUAAAAGCUUUAAAGUAUGUACACUAAUGCUGUGCUCUCCACAAACAGUUAAACUGACACUCCCUGAUGUAACCUAAGCAACAACUGUCUCUGAAAAACAGGGAUAAGCAGAUUUAACAGUAUUGACCUGUGCGGUUUGCAUUAAAUGACACCUGGGGAAGCCACACAAUUAACUGAAAGACCCACAGAAAGCUAUAGAUUGCAGCUUAAAAUACUGCAGGAAAGCUUCUUUAGUUGACAGACAGUCUAAUGGGCAUACAACUGGGCAUCCUAUUGUGCCACUGAUUUAAUCGGUGGUAUUGUUUUAUUGAUAUGGGCCUUCUUAUGCUGAAUUUCCAUUUAAUUAAGCUGACAGGGGCGAGCUUCUUCCAUGUCUCCUUUAAAGUGCCUCUGUGUUUCUCCUUUUCUCGCUCACUCUCCCUCCAUGAGUAGGGGAGAGAUUUGUGAAAUCUAAUAGAGUCCGUUUAAUGAGUCUGCUCGGAGAUGUCAGACUCAUCUUAGAGGCUGACAUGGAGACAGAAAUGACCUCUGUCUGACUGAAUUAAUUUGUUGCUUUAUGGUCUUCAUCACAAUACUGAGAUUUUAAAUUCCAAAAACUGAUAGGGUGAAGUUUCACAAAUUAAAGAGUUUUUUUCUGUUUACUAUUGCUUAUUAGAUAUGAAUUAGAAAGUGAUUUAUGGUUAAAGUGUCAAUUUGUGUGUUACAGACCUUGAAGAUGUGUGGGAAAUCAUAUGUGAGAACUUGCGCCUGGGUUGUAUUGAUAAUCGCUCCACAUGAAGCUUUAAAACAAUCAUUGUAUUAUAUAAUGCUAAAAAUCCAUAGUUAUGCCAUAUUAAAUAACCACCAACAAGGCAACAAUAGUUCGCUCAUGUUUUGUGUAUUUAUGAUGUGAGGCUAAGUGUUAGGAAUUGAUUAUUUUGGCCAAUUGGGGGGAGUGCAUCAACCUUGACAUAUUAUCACCAUAUGACGUUGUGUGUUUGCAAAUAUAUGCUUAGCUACACAUCCAGCAGACAAGUAGCAACACUGGCAUUCAUUUAGAGUCGUGUUUACGGCCACUUGACGAACACGAGUCCAAUAUUCACUCUCCUUUUAGCUCUGUUUUUGGUCUUUACUAGCUCCUGAGAAAUUUAUCUGGCUCUUUAGCUGCUAUAUGCUUCCACUAUGUUCACCAGCUUGUUGCUAAUUUUCUCAGCCUACCAUUUCGAGCUGUGCAGUUGAUCUGAGUUUUAGUCUUUAAAGCUGCCUGCUGCAACUGGAAUUAGACACUGAUGAGAGUGGUGAGAGUGAACAAAAGCAUUAAACAUGCUCCAUAGAGUUGGGUGGUAAUUAUCUGUGGGUUCAUGACUACGAGUGAUGUUGUAUUAUGGCUGCUUUAAGUAAAAUCACGGUAAUGUUGAAAUUCAGUUACCUUUCCCAAGUGCCCAGCAGUAGUAAAUACAUACCCUAACAGUGGUACGGCUAUCAAAUGUAAAGGACUUAAUCUGUCCAUUCUCCAAGAACACCUUCAACACAUUUGGUAUGAGCAGCAAGGAGUCGUCCUUGAGCAUUGUCUGAAAGAGAUUUAGGAGAAAAAAUCAGCUUUGGUUUAGUGAAAAAAAAGAUAGCAUGUGUGAGAAUGUGUCAAAAAGUUAAUCAAGAAUUAUUUGUACCCUACAAAGACAAUCAGAUGUAAUGGUAGGUCUCUGCUUUGUACCAAAGUAAUGAACAAGGAGAAGUUCCUUUAGGAGGAGUGCUAAUAAACAAAGGUGUCUUAUGUGAUUCUUUGACUGAAGUCUGGAGAGUCGGAGAAGGAGCACAACUCUGCCUUAGGAUGCCUGUCCCAUGCAUUGUAUCAGGAUCAAAGAAGGGCUUAUUCAAUUUAUCCAGUCUAUCCUUUCAAUAUGUAUGCUGUGCAAUGAAAAUUGGAUGGUGUGCAGGGAUUGAAAGCAUUCACCACAGAGUUUUGUGAGUGGAGGCAUAAGAGGAGAGGCCUGAUUCAAGGUUACUGCUUUUACUCAAAGCACUCUUUAUAAGAAAAGUUAUGAUAUGCAGUUCAGUUCAUUCUUACUAGGAUGUGAUGUGACGGGCACUCUCCUCAUCCUGACUACUUUCUUUUUUAUUGUACUGAGGGCUUUUUAAGAAAAUGACAUAGUAUUCAUUAUAUAGUUUGAAAGAACCACAGUUGUGAUCAGAGGGAGGAAUAUAUUGUUUUAAUGUGACAUGUGGCAAAGAUGCAGCCUUGCAGUCCAAAUAAAAUCCUCCAUAAAUUUGGGCCAAAACAAAACACUUCUUCAUUUUUAUCUGAUGAUGCGGAUUUGUAAGAACAGCAGGCAUACAUUACUCAUGACAGUAAAGGGAUGUGGAUUUGCUGCAA